rnacentral:rRNA from 1 species
GUGCCAGCCGCCGCGGUAAAACGUAGGAGGCGAGCGUUAUCCGGAUUUACUGGGUGUAAAGCGCGUGCAGGCGGUUGGCUAAGUUGGGUGUGAAAGCUCCUGGCUCAACUGGGAGAGGUCGCUCAAGACUGGUCGACUGGAGAGCAGUAGAGGAAGGUGGAAUUCCGGGUGUAGUGGUGAAAUGCGUAGAUAUCCGGAGGAACACCAGUGGCGAAAGCGGCCUUCUGGACUGUAUCUGACGCUCAGACGCGAAAGCUAGGGGAGCAAACGGGAUUAGAGACCCCGGUAGUCCUAGCUGUAAACGAUGUGAACUUGGCGCUGGUCGGGUAAAACCGGUCCGUGCCGGAGCAAACGCGAUAAGUUCACCACCUGAGGACUACGGCCGCAAGGUUAAA